GAUGAACGCUAGCGGCAGGCUUAACACAUGCAAGUCGAGGGGCAGCACGGGUAGCAAUACCUGGUGGCGACCGGCGCAAGGGUGCGUAACGCGUGAGCAACAUGCCCUAUACAGGGGGAUAAUCCAGGGAAACUUGGUCUAAUAUCCCAUAGUAUUUAGAGGAGGCAUCUUCUAUAAAUUAAAGCUUCGGUGGUAUAGGAUUGGCUCGCGUGACAUUAGCUAGAUGGUGAGGUAACGGCUCACCAUGGCAAUGAUGUCUAGGGGUUCUGAGAGGAAGGCCCCCCACACUGGGACUGAGACACGGCCCAGACUCCUACGGGAGGCAGCAGUGAGGAAUAUUGGACAAUGGAUGGAAAUCUGAUCCAGCCAUGCCGCGUGCAGGAAGACAGCCCUAUGGGUUGUAAACUGCUUUUAUAUGGGAGCAAUAAGGUCUACGUGUAGACUGAUGAGAGUACCAUAUGAAU
rnacentral:rRNA from 1 species